ensembl:piRNA 21ur-9370 ncRNA
UUUUUAAUGCUCUCGGAUUGA